rnacentral:rRNA from 1 species
UUUUUUUUUUUUUUUUUUAAAAAAAAAAUUAAAGUAAAAAUAUUUGAGGGAGGAUAUAUUUUUAUUAUGUAUUAAAUAUCGCACUCCCAGGGCAUCUUAAAUUAUUAUUGAUAAUUUUGAAAUUUUUUUUUUUUUAAAUUAUUUAUAAUAAUAAGGUGCACCUAGAGCGUACACGCUGGGACCCGAAAGAUGGUGAACUAUGCCUGGUCAGGACGAAGUCAGGGGAAACCCUGAUGGAGGUCCGUAGCGAUUCUGACGUGCAAAUCGAUCGUCGGAACUGGGUAUAGGGGCGAAAGACU